UACGUAGGAGGCGAGCGUUGUCCGGAGUUACUGGGCGUAAAGCGCGCGCAGGCGGCCCUGUGCGCUGCCGGUGAAAGCUCCCGGCUUACCUGGGAGAGGUUCGGCAGGACGGCAGGGCUGGAGGGUGGGAGAGGUCGGUGGAAUUCCCGGUGUAGUGGUGAAAUGCGUAGAGAUCGGGAGGAACACCCGUAGCGAAGGCGGCCGACUGGACCACACCUGACGCUGAGGCGCGAAGGCCAGGGGAGCGAACGGG
rnacentral:rRNA from 1 species